UACGUAGGGUGCAAGCGUUGUCCGGAAUUAUUGGGCGUAAAGAGCUCGUAGGCGGUCUGUCGCGUCUGCUGUGAAAACUCGGGGCUUAACCCCGGGCCUGCAGUGGGUACGGGCAGACUGGAGUGCGGUAGGGGAGAAUGGAAUUCCUGGUGUAGCGGUGGAAUGCGCAGAUAUCAGGAGGAACACCGGUGGCGAAGGCGGGUCUCUGGGCCGAUACUGACGCUGAGGAGCGAAAGCGUGGGGAGCGAACAGG
rnacentral:rRNA from 1 species